rnacentral:tRNA from 1 species
UCCCUGGUGGCUCAGAGGGUAAAGCGUCUGCCUACAAUGCAGGAGACCUGGGUUCAAUUCCUGGGUUGGAAA